rnacentral:rRNA from 1 species
CAGGAUGAACGCUAGCGGCAGGCUUAACACAUGGCAAGUCGAGGGGCGAGCGGGGAUAGGCAAUAUCCGCCGGCGACCGGCGAAAGGGUGCGUAACGCGUGAGCAACUUGCCCGUAUCAGGGGGAUAACCGAUGGAAACGUCGCCCUAAUACCCCAUAACAACAGGGUUCGCAUGUUCCCUGUUUGAAAGCUUUUUGCGGAUACGGAUAGGCUCGCGAGACAUUAGCUAGUUGGAGUGGUAACGGCACACCAAGGCGACGAUGUCUAGGGGUUCUGAGAGGAAGGUCCCCACAUUGGAACUGAGACACGGUCCAAACUCCUACGGGAGGCAGCAGUGAGGAAUAUUGGUCAAUGGGCGAAAGCCUGAACCAGCCAUGCCGCGUGCAGGAAUAAGGCCCUAUGGGUCGUAAACUGCUUUGUGGUGGAGCAAUAAGGGCUACGUGUAGUCCGAUGAGAGUACAUCACGAAUAAGCAUCGGCUAACUCCGUGCC